CAGUAGCCGCGGUAAUACGAAGGGGGCUAGCGUUGUUCGGAAUUACUGGGCGUAAAGCGCACGUAGGCGGAUCGAUCAGUCAGGGGUGAAAUCCCAGGGCUCAACCCUGGAACUGCCUUUGAUACUGUCGAUCUGGAGUAUGGAAGAGGUGAGUGGAAUUCCGAGUGUAGAGGUGAAAUUCGUAGAUAUUCGGAGGAACACCAGUGGCGAAGGCGGCUCACUGGUCCAUUACUGACGCUGAGGUGCGAAAGCGUGGGGAGCAAACAGGAUUAGAUACCCCCGUAGUCCCUGUCUCUUAUAC
rnacentral:rRNA from 1 species